GACGUAGGGCGCGAGCGUUGUCCGGAAUUAUUGGGCGUAAAGAGCUCGUAGGCGGCUUGUCGCGUCGACUGUGAAAACCCGUGGCUCAACCAUGCGGUCUGCAGUCGAUACGGGCAGGCUAGAAUUCGGUAGGGGAGACUGGAAUUCCUGGUGUAGCGGUGAAAUGCGUAGAUAUCUGGAGGAACACCGGUGGCGAAGGCGGCGUUCUGGACUGUUUCUGACACUGAAAAACGAAAGCCAGGGGAGCAAACGGG
rnacentral:rRNA from 1 species